GAUUUGAGAGCAAAUGCACCACUUCAGCCUGAAGAAAGGAAGCCUAAUUCGGAUGCUAAAAGAGUUUCCACUCAAGGUCUCAGGAAUGGAUGAAAUGAUGGCGAAGCUCAAUAUACAAUUGUGAACAUGUCGUCACAGUUGAUAGUUAUUUGAGCCUCCUUUUGCUCGAAAUGUACGUAGAUUCUUAAGAAGUCUUCUAAGCCCUUCUGCUUCACAAGCUACUUCUCUUGUCGAGCUAUAUUGUGCUUCUGCUGAAGAUAAUGGCAUUGUCUUUUGCUUCCUUGAAGACACUUUUCUACUUAAGAAAUCCACUUAAAAGAUUAUAUUGAA